AGAGUUUGAUCAUGGCUCAGGAUGAACGCUGGCUGUGUGCCUAAUACAUGCAUGUUGAACGAAGCUAAAAGUGCUUGCACUUUAAGACUUAGUAGCGAAUGGGUGAGUAACACGUACUUAACCUACCCCCAAGUUUGGGAUAACGUUUGGGAACGAACGCUAAUACCGAAUACGUAUUUUUAUCGCAUGAUAGAAAUAUAAAAGGAGCUUCGGCUUCGCUAGGGGAUGGGAGUGCGCUACAUUAGUUAGUUGGUAGGGUAAUGGCCUACCAAGACUAUGAUGUAUAGCGGGGCCGAGAGGCUGAUCCGCCACACUGGGACUGAGAUACGGCCCAGACUCCUACGGGAGGCAGCAGUAGGGAAUUUUCCACAAUGAACGAAAGUUUGAUGGAGCGACACAGCGUGCAGGAUGAAGGUCUUCGGAUCGUAAACUGCUGUUAUAAGGGAAGAAGAACUUUAGUAGGUAAUGACUAGAACUUGACGGUACCUUAUCAGAAAGCGACGGCUAACUAUGUGCCAGCAGCCGCGGUAAU
rnacentral:rRNA from 1 species